AAUGAACGCUGGCGGCAGGCCUAACACAUGCAAGUCGAAGGAGUGGCGGACGGGUGAGUAAGGUCUGGGAAACGGACCGAUGGAGGGGGAUAAUUACUGGAAACGGAAGCUAAUACCGCAUACACUCGGCUGUGCCCAAAUGGGAUUAGCUAGAAGGUGGGGUAACGGCUCACCUAGGCGACGAUCCCUAGCUGGUCGUAGAGGAUGAACAGCCCAACUGGAACUGAGACCCGGUCCAGACUCCGUCGGGAGUCAGCAGUGGGGAAUAUUGCACAAUGGGCGCAAGCCUGAUGCAGCCAUGCCGCGUGUAUGAAGAAGGCCUUCGGGUUGUAAAGUACUUUCAGCGAGGAGGCGUUACUCGCAGAAGAAGCACCGGCUAACUCCGUGCCAGCCGCCGCGGUAAUAC
rnacentral:rRNA from 1 species